rnacentral:tRNA from 1 species
GGUGUAGCUCAGUUUGGCUAGAGCGCCUGAUUUGGGUUCAGGAGGCCGCAGGUUCGAGUCCUGUUACC